GAUGAACGCUGGCGGCAUGCCUAACACAUGCAAGUUGAACGAGAAGUUCCGGAACAAGUCUUCGGACAAGGGAAGGGACGGGAAGUAGCGAACGGGUGAGUAACGCGUGGGCAACCAACCUUACACAGGGGGAUAACGCAGAGAAAUUUGCGCUAAUACCGCAUAAGCGCACAGGAUCACAUGAUCCGGUGUGAAAAACUCCGGUGGUGUAAGACGGGCCCGCGUCUGAUUAGCUAGUUGGUGAGGUAAAGGCUCACCAAGGCGACGAUCAGUAGCCGACCUGAGAGGGUGAUCGGCCACAUUGGGACUGAGACACGGCCCAAACUCCUACGGGAGGCAGCAGUGGGGGAUAUUGCACAAUGGAGGGAAACUUCUGAUGCAAGCAAUGCCGCGUGAAGGAAAGAAAGGUUUUUCG
rnacentral:rRNA from 1 species